AAUCCCCAAUUUGCAACCCUAAUUGAUCGGAGAUUGUCCAAACUCUCUGCCAUUUUUCGAAGCAUCCCUCCUAUCAUCUCCGUCUUCUUCGCAGAAUCGCGUUAUGCAUCUCAAUUUGUAGAUUGUAACUUAGGGUUACUGAUUGCUGUAAUGCUCUGAGUUCCCCUCUAACGAGGAUUUGUUGUCACUGCAAUCGAUUUUGCCGAUUAGGUUUAAUUUAAGGCAUUUUUUGCGUACCUCUUGUGUUGUAUAGUUCUUUGAAAUGGAGAAUUCGCGUAGACCGUUUGAUAGAUCCAGAGAUCCAGGUCCGAUGAAGAAACCUAGGCUCAGCGAGGAAUCAAUCCGGCCUGUGAAUUCCAACGCGCGGCAGUUUUUGUCGCAGAGAACGCUUGGUACGGCUACGGCGGUGACAGUACCACCGGCGUCGUCAAGAUUUCGAGUUGGUGGCAGAGAAAUUGAGAGUAGUAUUGCAAGUGAUCCGAGCCGAGAGGCUUACCAGCCACAGCCGGUUCAUCCACAUUACGAGCUUGUGAAUCAGUACAAGUCUGCACUGGCUGAGCUCACUUUCAACUCGAAGCCAAUAAUAACGAACCUUACAAUAAUUGCUGGAGAGAAUGUUCAUGCUGCUAAAGCCGUCGUAGCCACCAUUUGCAACAACAUCCUCGAGGUACCAAGUGAUCAGAAGCUGCCAACACUGUACCUGUUAGACAGCAUUGUGAAGAACAUCGGAAGGGAUUACAUCAAGUACUUUGGUGCCAGGCUGCCUGAGGUUUUUGUUAAGGCUUACAGGCAAGUUGACCCUCCUAUGCAUUCUAACAUGCGGCAUCUUUUUGGAACCUGGAAAGGCGUCUUUCAUCCGCAAACACUUCAGCUUAUUGAGAAAGAACUUGGCUUUAAUGCUAAAAGUGAUGGUUCAGCAGCUGUUAUAUCCACAGCCAGAGCUGAGCCGCAAUCUCAGCGCCCACCACAUAGCAUCCAUGUGAAUCCCAAGUAUCUAGAAAGGCAGCGCCUUCAGCAGUCGGGACGGACAAAAGGAAUGGUUACUGAUACACCAGAAAUCGCACCCAAUUUGACUAGGGAUUCAGAUAGACUGGAGAGAGUUUCAAGCAUAGCAUCUGGAGGCUCGUGGGUAGGUCCAGCUAAAGUAAAUACCAUUCGGCGACCUCAAAGAGAUUUACUUAGUGAACCCCUCUACGAGAAAGAUAUCGAGUCAAUAGCAGGGGAAUAUGAUUAUGCUUCUGAUCUACCCCAUAACUCAAGAUCAGUGAUUAAGAAAGUUGGUUCAGCGAUGAUUACUGAUGACGGAUGUGAGAAACAAUGGUAUGGAGCUAUGAGCAGGAGUCCUGAUCUGAUUUCUGACCAAAGGGAUGGGUUACAUACCAAAAGCAGAACUUCCAACUAUGCUAUGGCGAGACUAGCAAAUUUGGAAUCAAGUGGUCCCAGUAGAAAUAUAGGUGCGCCUUGUGAUAGUUGGAAAAACUCUGAGGAAGAAGAGUUUAUGUGGGAUAUGCACUCAAGGUUAUCCGAAACUGAUGUAGCCACUAUCAACCCAAAGAACGAGCUUCAUGCACCAGAUGAAUCAGAGAGACUGGAAACUGAAAAUCACCACUUAAAACGACCAAGGUUUUCAGCUCUCGACCCAAGGUUUGACCCAGCGAAUUCCAGCGAGCAACAAGAUCCAAGUAUUUUUGGUCAUUGGACGUCUUCUCCAAGAUCUUUGCAUGAUUCAGAAGUUUUUUCUUCUACUAAUGCAACCUCUACUGCAGCUAGAAAGGGAAUUCAGCCUCAACCUAGGGUUGCCAGCUCUGGAAUUUUGCCAAGCUCAGGAUCUGGGUCAGAUAGACAGUCGCCUUUACAUGAUUCAACUUCUAAACAGAAUGUGACCAAGCAAGAUGUUAGAAGAGCUCACUCCCUCCCUCAACGUGAUCCUAGGGCUUCCCGGUUUCCAGCAAAAAAUGUUCCCAGGGAUGACUCUGUACGGAUCCCAUCUUCAAGUAGUCAGUUUAAAAACACAAAUAUGCGUGAACUACCUGAUGCAUCUCAAGUGGAAAUCUUUGACUCUAAGUUGGCAGCUGAAAAUGCUCCAGGCCUAACUAUUGCCUCAGAAGCUACAGGACAACCCAACAUGAGUGAUUUGCUGGAAGCUGUCAUGAAGAGUGGAAUCCUUUCUAAUAAUUCAACACAUGGUGCGAUCAAGGAGGAAAUUUCUCAGGAUGAGGUUAACCCAGGGGCACUAACCCUAUCAGCGGCCUCUAAGCCUAAGAAUUUGCCAUCAGCAUUGCCAAUUUCAGUGGCUGGUGACAAUUUAUUAGCUCGUUUAAAAGUUGAACAAUCCUCCGCACCACUUGUCUCAUGUGCAGCGUCUCUUACUGGCAUCACAUCAGUACAAACGUCAAAUGAGAAUAGUAAGGCCUCAGAUCCUCUUUCAUGCCUCUUGAGCUCCUUAGUUUCAAAGGGCUUGAUAUCUGCUUCAAAGACAGAGCAGCCAUCGGCUCCUUCCAUAACGCAGGAACAUAGUCCUGAUCAUUCCACCAAUAGCUCUAUGUCUGUAUCUGUGGUUCCAUCAGAUGCUCAACCAUCUGUUCUGGUGAAGAAGGGGCCAUCCACUGCCCCUAAGGUAAAAGGGUUAACUGCAUCUGAGACAUCAAAAUCUGAACCUGAGGACCUCAUAGGAUUGAAGUUUAGGGCAGACAAAAUCCGUGAACUUCACCCCUCUGUCAUUAGUAGUCUCUUUGAUGAUCUUCCACAUCUCUGCACCUCCUGCGGCGUUCGCCUUAAACAAAAGGAAGAACUUGAUAGGCACAUGGAGUUGCAUGAUAAGAGUAAGGGCGAGUUAAGUGGCAAAAACAGUAAAUGUAGGGUUUGGUUUCCAAAGGUUGAAAACUGGAUUGCAGCAAAAGCUGGAGAGUUAGAACCUGAAGAUGAGGAAGUUCUGAGUGAACCUGAGAGUGCUAUUGAGGAUGGUCCAGCCGUAGCUGCUGAUGAGACCCAAUGCGCAUGUGUAUUAUGUGGAGAAGUUUUUGAGGAUUAUUUCAGUCAAGAAAUGGCUCAAUGGAUGUUCAAGGGAGCUUCUUACCUGACCAAUCCUCCAGCCAACAGUGAGGCCAGUGGUCCUAUCGUCCAUACAGGUUGUCUGACCACGAGUUCAUUACAGAGCUUGGAAGUUGGAAAUGCAAUCAAGGAGGAAAUUGUUGAGUAGCCUCCAUAUGCAUAUGAAGACCUAUGGUGGAGGAAUUAGUGGCAUCACAGAGGAAACAGAUUGGGUAAAGAGCAAAAUUAACAUUUAUUGGAGAGAGAAAUGCAAAAGGUGUGAGAGUUAUAAGAAGAGAGUCUUGUAAUGAAUGUGUAGGUGGGGAGAGGGCUAGAAAAGCAGAGGACCUUUCUCUGUUUCUUCGCUGUUCCUUGCUUUCAGGAAAACUCAAUUUUCACGUGAAUAAGAAGAGCUCAUCAAAAAUUAAUGUGGUCUCAGAAUAAGCUUUGGCUUUGCCAUCUUUAUUGAAUAAGUAAGGGUUUGAUUU